rnacentral:rRNA from 1 species
AAGUGCGACCGAAGAGAGUAAAGCUCAAUAAUCUAAACUUUAAAUUUUUAAUUUAAAGUCAUGUGAUUUUCUAAACUCAUUGAAAUUUUUAUAAAUUAUGAUUGAAUUCAUAACUAUAAAGAGUUAUAGUCUCGUUAUUUAAAAUUUCAAGCAUGGGAAUUAGAAUUAAAGAGUCGGGUAGCUUGAGAAUGCUGCCUUAAUAUAGGUGGUACACCCCAUCUAAAGCUAAAUAUUGUAAAGAGACCGAUAGCAUACAAGUAGUGUGAACGAAAGAUGAAAAGAACUCCUAAACGGAGAAUUAAAAGCGCCUGAACUUGUCUAGGUUUUCGCAUUUCUUUAAUGCGCCCGUCUUGAAACACGGAUUAGGGAGUUUUACUUAAAUACGAGUCUUUAACUUUUAAAGUAAUUUUUUUAAAAAAGGCGAAAAGAAAUUAACUGGUUUUUUUAACAUGGCUAUAGAGUAUUUAAGUCAAAACCCGAAUGGAGGUGAACUAUUCCUGCAAAGAUUGAAGUCAGGGGAAACUCUGAUGGAAGAUCGUUGGCGUUAUUGAUGUGCAAAUCAUUUGCUUUAUGUAGGUAUAGGUGCGAAAGACUCAUCGAACCUCCUAAUAGCUGGUUUCCUCCGAAGUUUCCCUCAGGAUAGCUGUAACAUUUUUAAAUAGUUAAGGAUAGUAGAGAAAUGGGUAGAGGUGUAGUGGAACUACGGUUCUGCAACUUAUUUCCAAACUUCGAACGUUCUUGAUAUAAAAAAUUACCUAAUAGGAAUUUUUUAUUUAAAUAUAUGUUAUAAGUGGGCUCUGACCGGUAAGCGGUCAUGGCGAAAAGGGAUGAACCUAACGUAUAAAUAAGGUGCCUAAAUUUACUAACAAUGAAACCAUUAAAAGAGUCCAUGUAUUUAGACAGCGGGUCGGUGCCCCUAAAAGCAGGUAUCCGUUAAUGAGUGUGUUAAAACUCCCCCGCCGAAUACUCUGGCCUUGAAAAUGAAUGGCGCAUAUAGUAAUACCGAUAUUAUACAUUAAAAUUAUUUAAAAAUUUUAAAAGUAGGGGGAUGUGGAUAUCUUAGAGAAUUUUUAAUUGUAAAAUUGAAUUGAAAGAUAUCUAUUACAGAUCCUAAUUGAAGUAGCGAUUAUCCAGGUUAAUCUCCUGGGGGCUGAUGAGGAGUAGGGUUUCUGGGCAACUUAAACGGACCCAGAGUUAGUCGAUCCUAAUCAAAUUAAAUUUAGAGAAAGGGAAUAUGAAUGAUAUUUCAUAACUAAAAUUAAUUUUUAAAUGGUGACAUUUUUUUAAACUUAUUUCCAUCAAUUAAAUACUGUUUAAUAGGGAUUUCUUUCCUAUAUAACUUUUUAAUUAAAACUUAAGAAACAGGUUAACUGGAGAAUAAAGUUUUAAUUUAGUAAAAUUAUAAUUUCGAUUAUAAUAACGGCUAUUUAAAUGAUCCAUGAAACAAUAAGUUUAUUUUUUCAAAAAUUAAUUUAAUCGUACCGAUAACCGCAUCAGGUCUCCAAGGUGAGUAGCUUCUGGCCAUUGAGUAAUGGUAAUUUAGGGAAUUCGGCCAAUUAGAGCUGUAACUUCGGGAUAAAGCUUGGCUCUGAUGGAAAUCAGAACCGAUAGUUACAAGGAGAGCCCAACUGUUUAAUAAAAACUUAGUGUCGCGUCAUACCUUUAUAAGUAAUAAACGUGACAUGAAUCCUGCUCAGUGCUGUGUUUGUUAAACUGGAUUAAUCCAUUUAAGCGCCGGUAAAUAGCUGGGGUAACUAUGACUCUUAUCAAAGUAGCGAAAUACCUCGUCACUUAAUUAGUGACCUGCAUGAACGGAGCUAUGAGGUUCUCACUGUCCCAAAUUAUCACUCAGCGAACCAACAGUUGUGGGAACGGGCACAAAUUAUCCAGCGGGGAAAGAAGACCCUGUAGAGCUUCACUUUGGUCUAAUCUUGUAUAGUUUCGUUAGGGGUGCAGUCUAGGUGGGAGAUUUUUAAUCAAAUAUGAGAAACCACUACCCUUUCUGGAAUUAUACUUACUAAAAUUCUUUUCUAAAUUUUAGGAUCGGAUUAGAUAGAAAGUUUGGCUGGGGCGGCACACCUUCGAAAAAGCAGCGAAGGUGUCCUAAGUUAAGCUCAGUAAGGACAGAAAUCUUACGUUGAGGAUAAGGCCAAAAGCUUAAUUUACUGUGCCUUUUUGUACUAGGAUCAGUUUGGAAACAAAGGCCUAACGAUCCCUAAUUAGUCUUAGGUGUGUAAGACUUGGGGUGACAGACAAGUUACCUCCGGGACAACUGGCUUGUGGCUGCUAAGAGAUCAAAUCAACGCAGCUUUUUGAUUCUUCGAUGUCGGC